rnacentral:rRNA from 1 species
AUUGAACGCUGGCGGCAUGCCUUACACAUGCAAGUCGAACGGUAACAGGUCUUCGGAUGCUGACGAGUGGCGAACGGGUGAGUAAUACAUCGGAACGUGCCUAGUAGUGGGGGAUAACUACUCGAAAGAGUGGCUAAUACCGCAUGAGAUCUACGGAUGAAAGCAGGGGAUCGCAAGACCUUGUGCUACUAGAGCGGCCGAUGGCAGAUUAGGUAGUUGGUGGGAUAAGAGCUUACCAAGCCGACGAUCUGUAGCUGGUCUGAGAGGACGAUCAGCCACACUGGGACUGAGACACGGCCCAGACUCCUACGGGAGGCAGCAGUGGGGAAUUUUGGACAAUGGGCGCAAGCCUGAUCCAGCAAUGCCGCGUGCAGGAUGAAGGCCUUCGGGUUGUAAACUGCUUUUGUACGGAACGAAAAGCCCCGGGUUAAUACCCUGGGGUCAUGACGGUACCGUAAGAAUAAGCACCGGCUAACUACGUGCCAGCAGCCGCCGUAA